GAUGAACGCUAGUUACAGGCUUAACACAUGCAAGUCGAGGGGCAGCAUAUUUUUAGCUUGCUAAGAAUGAUGGCGACCGGCGCACGGGUGAGUAACGCGUAUCCAACCUUCCCAUGGCUCAGGGAUAACCUUGCGAAAGUAAGCCUAAUACCUGAUAUCCUCUUUAGCAGGCAUCUAAAGAAGAGGAAAGAUUUAUCGGCGAUGGAUGGGGAUGCGUCCGAUUAGCUUGCCGGUGGGGUAAAGGCCCACCGGGGCGACGAUCGGUAGGGGUUCUGAGAGGAAGGUCCCCCACAUUGGAACUGAGACACGGUCCAAACUCCUACGGGAGGCAGCAGUGAGGAAUAUUGGUCAAUGGGCGAGAGCCUGAACCAGCCAAGUAGCGUGCAGGACGACGGCCCUAUGGGUUGUAAACUGCUUUUAUACGGGAAUAAAGUGAUGCCUGCGGGCGUUAUUGCAUGUACCGUACGAAUAAGGACC
rnacentral:rRNA from 1 species